GAUGAAGAACGUAGCGAAAUGCGAUACGUAAUGUGAAUUGCAAAUUCAGUGAAUCAUCGAGUCUUUGAACGCACAUUGCGCCCUCUGGUAUUCCGGGGGGCAUGCCUGUCCGAGCGUCAUUGCUGCCCUCAAGCACGGCUUGUGUGUUGGGCCCCGUCCUCCGAUCCCGGGGGACGGGCCCGAAAGGCAGCGGCGGCACCGCGUCCGGUCCUCGAGCGUAUGGGGCUUUGUCACCCGCUCUGUAGGCCCGGCCGGCGCUUGCCGAUCAACCCAAAUUUUUAUCCAGGUUGACCUCGGAUCAGGUAGGGAUACCCGCUGAACUUAAGCAUAUCAAUAAGCGGAGGA
rnacentral:misc_RNA from 1 species